GCAGGGUUGCUCCUCUUUCCUUAACUCAUGCCACUGUGCCUUUUUAUUUAUUUCACAAUUGUGUGAGUUGAGUACAGAGUGUAAUUCUG
rnacentral:pre_miRNA from 1 species